UUAAAGGCAAAAUCAAACUAGCCCAAUUAAUAUGAGAAAGGAAACAGGCCCAAAACAAUUAAAUUCUAAACGUCCAUUUGGCGAUAUAAGGCCUGGGCGAGGUAGGCAAUGAAGGAUAACGCCCAUAAGAUGGAUUUACACACGAUAACAAAAUAUCUUCAUCCUUCCCUGCCUUAGCGAUUAACUUGGGAAUGAAGAAACCAACUCCUUGAAACUGCCAUGGCUUGGAGACCAAGGUU
rnacentral:lncRNA from 1 species